rnacentral:rRNA from 1 species
GUGUCAGCAGCCGCGGUAAUACGUAGGGUGCGAGCGUUGUCCGGAUUCACUGGGUGUAAAGGGUCCGCAGGCGGGACAGCAAGUCGUUGGUGAAAUCCUGGGGCUUAACUCCAGAAUUGCCGACGAUACUGCUGUUCUUGAGUGCAGAAGAGAGAGACGGAAUUCCUGGUGUAGCGGUGAAAUGCGUAGAUAUCAGGAAGAACACCGGUGGCGAAGGCGGUCUCUUGGUCUGCUACUGACGCUCAGGGACGAAAGCGUGGGGAGCAAACAGGAUUAGAUACCCUCGUAGUCC